GCUAUUCCCCGUGGUCUUGGCGGUCGAGCUGUGGGGUGGGAAGUUGUCGAACGGGACUGUUGUGUUCUGGACAGACAACAUCAGUGUGGUCUUUGCGAUCAAUAACUUGUCAGCCACCUCAGCAAAGGUCAUUACCUUGCUGCGCCACCUGGUGUUGCGCUGUCUGGACCUUAACAUCCAGUUCCAGGCCCGUCAUGUCCCGGGCGUUGACAAUGUUGUAGCUGACGCCCUGUCACGAUUCGAAUGGGCGACAUUUCGCAAGUUAGCCCCCACAGCUGCAGCCGUGGGCUUACGCUGUCCUGAUUUCCUUUGGCAGCUCGUCCUUCCUGGAUAGCCUUACUGCCGUUGGUCCGCUCCUCCUUAGCACCAUCCACUUGGCACGCCUAUGCCCGCAUGUGGUCUGAAUGGGACAAUUUCUGUGCGUCCAGGGGAGCCGACGCUGCUCAGGGGUCUAGGGACAACUUACAUGAUUGGCUGGCACUACCCCCGGGGUGAAGCGAAUCUGGAUUGUGGGCCACUCCUUUGUCCACUGGGCCUCCCUACGCUGUGCGUCCCUCCCAUUUGGCCAAUCCCUAGGUCUCCCUACCAACAAGGCAUCCGUUAGGUGGUUGGGUGAUAGGGGGAUGUGCUGGCCCCAAUUAGCAGGAACCAUAUCUGAGGCCCUGGUACGCUGGGGGAAGCCUCACAUUAUUAUUCUUCACCUAGGGGGUAACGAUGUGGGGGCCAUACCAGUUUUACAGUUGAUUAAGGUUAUGCAGGCAGACAUUGGGUGGCUAAGAGUACGCAUCCCGGGGGUCAUGAUAGGGUGGUCCCAUAUAAUACCCCGUCUCCACUGGAGGCAUAUGUCGGCCCAUACGGCGGCAUACCGGGUUAGGAAGAAGAUCAAUGCGUCUGUAGCGAAAACCGUCACUGGGUCAGGUGGCUUCGUGGUACGGCACGAAGCCAUUUCGGCUGAUAGAACCGAGCUAUAUAGAAGGGAUAAAGUUCACCUUUCUGAUGUGGGGCUGGAUUUAUUCAUAGGGGACAUUCAGAGAGCUCUGUUACCCCUCCUGUAAAUCGGGUUGUGGGUUGGCGGCAAGGGUACCAUUAAAAUGCUUCCUUGUGGCGGGAGAUCCUCGGUCCGGUUGCGCAGGAGAAGGUCGCUAGGGGUGAGUGAUGGCCAGACUUCCGGGGAGGAGGGUAGGCCCUCACGUGCACGUGACGGUAACCCUCCUUCCUCCCUUUUGAGGGAUGGUCACGUGAUCUCUGCAACCCCUCAGCGUCAUCUCCUUAGGGCAGAGACCCCUCUGCUGCUGUUCCCGUUGGGCCGGUGAUCUCCUGCUGUUCUGGGUAGCUGAUCUCUAUGCCGCCAUAUAUAUUUUCAGUUCUAUCAGUUCUAUCUAGUUUGUUAGGUUAAUAAAAUUUUAUGGCCUGUGACGGUCACAAAAUUUUUCCCAUAAAAA